CUGCAGCUGCUCAGCCUCAACAAGGAUCUGUAGGGAACAGAGAACAGAGGACUGCGAUAGAGCAUCAUCUGCUGUCUCAGCUGGGCAGUGCUGCAGGAUCCCCUUGAAUGCCAUUGAAUGCCAUCCCCCCUGAUGCCAUUCAGAUGUGCAUACCACGCUGCCUGGAUGGAUAGGGUCUUAAAUGCUGGGCAAGCUGCAAAAGGGUGAUCUACUGUAACAUCUACCAAGCCUGCAAGCAAGGAAGAGCAUUGUCCUGAGCUUUCAUUUUGCAGCUGAUAAUGUCAGAUGAACCAGCAAUGCCCGUGUCCACUCCUGGGAAAUACAUCACAGGCCACAGGAGCAGCCCAGGAAGAGUGAUGGAACACAAAAGAGCUUAUGGCAUGAGGUACAGUUCUCCAAGUACUGAGCAGAUACCUUCUUAGCUCCAGCACUGAGGAGUCCAUGUUAAUGUGAGGAAUGAGUCUUUGGAGGUUGCCUUAGGCAUCCACAUUUAUUUUACAUCCAGAAAACUCAUAACUAGUCCUAUCUACCUACCCCUCUCCUUCUCAGAAGCACCCUGAUGGGCUAUGGGUUUGCAGAUAGAGAAGCCAUUUCUUUC
rnacentral:lncRNA from 1 species